GAUGAACGCUAGCGGCAGGCUUAAUACAUGCAAGUCGAGGGGCAGCAUGAGUGUAGCAAUACAUUUGAUGGCGACCGGCAAACGGGUGCGGAACACGUACACAACCUUCCUAUAAGUGGGGAAUAGCCCAGAGAAAUUUGGAUUAAUACCCCGUAACAUAAUGAUGUGGCAUCACAUUAUUAUUAUAGCUUCGGCGCUUAUUGAUGGGUGUGCGGCUGAUUAGAUAGUUGGCGGGGUAACGGCCCACCAAGUCUACGAUCAGUAGCUGAUGUGAGAGCAUGAUCGGCCACACGGGCACUGAGACACGGGCCCGACUCCGACGGGAGGCAGAAGUAAGGAAUAUUGGUCAAUGGACGCAAGUCUGAACCAGCCAUGCCGCGUGAAGGAUUAAGGUCCUCUGGAUUGUAAACUUCUUUUAUCUGGGACGAAAAAAGGCGAUUCUUCGUCACUUGACGGUACCAGAUGAAUAAGCACCGGCCAACUCCGUGCCAGCAGCCGCCGUAACAC
rnacentral:rRNA from 1 species